ensembl:misc_RNA
GUGAGGGGCUGGGCGAAAGGAGGGAGGGAGGAUGGGGAACGCGCGCCCCAAGAGCGAAGGCAAACAGCUGUGGAGGCGCUGUCCAGGGCUCAGGCUUCCCAACAGGUUAGCUAGACCGGGAACCACCCGGCAUUUCGCAGGAAAGGGGGGGGAGGCUGAGCGAGAGGGGGAGAGAGCCUCAGAAGAGGACAGAGGGAGGGAGGGAAAGAG